GAUUGCUCUUGGAUUUGUGUAGUCUUGUUCUUGAAGGAAAACAUCUCCUUCCUCCCCUUGAUGUAGAAACUGAUCUUAGCAGCACUAGCGUAGAUGACAGCUCCUGAGGUGUUCAGGAAUGGCCUCCCUAAGAUGACGGGUGCCCUCUCAUCAUUACCGGUCCCUAUCACCACGAAGUCUGCUGGGGCGUACAAGGUACC
rnacentral:lncRNA from 1 species